AAAUUUGGUCCCAAAUGGGCUAAGAACUCGGAAACAUUACGUUGAACCACUAAAUGGCUUGUUUAGUGUUCUUUGGGGUUAGAAUAGGUUAGAGUACAUCAAAUUUAAUUGAUUACAAGUUCUAGAGAUGCAUGAAGAGUGUUUAGAAGAGUGUAGAAAGACUUGCUGAAAUUUGGGCCGAAAUGGGCUAAGAACCUACAACCAUUGCUUUCAAGCAUUAAAUGGCUUGUCUACUGUUUUUUGGGGUUAUAAUAUGUUAGAAUACAAUACUUUUGAUUGAUUACAUGUGCUAGAGCAUCAUGACGAGUGUUUAGAAGUUUGGAGGAAGACUUGUUGAAAUUUGGUCCCAAAUGGGCUAAGAACUCGAAAACAUUGCGUUGCACCACUAAAUGGCUUGUUUAGUGUUCUUUGGGGUUAGAAUAGGUUAAAGUACAUUAAUUUGAUUGAUUACAAGUUCUAGAGAUGCAUGAAAUGUGUUUAGAAGAGUUUAGAAAGACUUGCUGAAAUUUGGGCCGAAAUGGGCUAAGAACCCAC
rnacentral:lncRNA from 1 species